UCCCUAGAGGACUAGUGGUUAAGCCUCAGCGCUCUCACUGCCGCGUCCCGGGUUCGAGUCACAGCCAAGGAA